AUGAACGCUAGCUACAGGCUUAACACAUGCAAGUCGAGGGGAAACGACAUCGAAAGCUUGCUUUUGAUGGGCGUCGACCGGCGCACGGGUGAGUAACGCGUAUCCAACCUGCCCACCACUUGGGGAUAACCUUGCGAAAGUAAGACUAAUACCCAAUGAUAUCUCUAGAAGACAUCUGAAAGAGAUUAAAGAUUUAUCGGUGAUGGAUGGGGAUGCGUCUGAUUAGCUUGUUGGCGGGGUAACGGCCCACCAAGGCAACGAUCAGUAGGGGUUCUGAGAGGAAGGUCCCCCACAUUGGAACUGAGACACGGUCCAAACUCCUACGGGAGGCAGCAGUGAGGAAUAUUGGUCAAUGGGCGAGAGCCUGAACCAGCCAAGUAGCGUGCAGGAUGACGGCCCUAUGGGUUGUAAACUGCUUUUAUAAGGGAAUAAAGUUAGUCUCGUGAGACUUUUUGCAUGUACCUUAUGAAUAAGGACCGGCUAAUUCCGUGCCAGCAGCCGCGGUAAUACGGAAGGUCCGGGCGUUAUCCGGAUUUAUUGGGUUUAAAGGGAGCGUAGGCCGGAGAUUAAGCGUGUUGUGAAAUGUAGACGCUCAACGUCUGCACUGCAGCGCGAACUGGUUUCCUUGAGUACGCACAAAGUGGGCGGAAUUCGUGGUGUAGCGGUGAAAUGCUUAGAUAUCACGAAGAACUCCGAUUGCGAAGGCAGCUCACUGGAGCGCAACUGACGCUGAAGCUCGAAAGUGCGGGUAUCGAACAGGAUUAGAUACCCUGGUAGUCCGCACGGUAAACGAUGGAUGCCCGCUGUUGGUCUGAAUAGGUCAGCGGCCAAGCGAAAGCAUUAAGCAUCCCACCUGGGGAGUACGCCGGCAACGGUGAAACUCAAAGGAAUUGACGGGGGCCCGCACAAGCGGUGGAGCAUGUGGUUUAAUUCGAAGCAACGCGAAGAACCUUACCAGGUCUUGACAUCGAUCUAAAAGGGAUGGAGACAUCCUCAUAGCUAUAGAGGAGACAGGUGGUGCAUGGUUGUCGUCAGCUCGUGCCGUGAGGUGUCGGCUUAAGUGCCAUAACGAGCGCAACCCCUCUCCUUAGUUGCCAUCAGGUUAAGCUGGGCACUCUGGGGACACUGCCACCGUAAGGUGUGAGGAAGGUGGGGAUGACGUCAAAUCAGCACGGCCCUUACGUCCGGGGCUACACACGUGUUACAAUGGCAGGUACAGAGAGACGGUCCCUUGCAAAACGGAUCAAAUCCUUAAAGCCUGUCUCAGUUCGGACUGGGGUCUGCAACCCGACCCCACGAAGCUGGAUUCGCUAGUAAUCGCGCAUCAGCCAUGGCGCGGUGAAUACGUUCCCGGGCCUUGUACACACCGCCCGUCAAGCCAUGAAAGCCGGGGGCGCCUAAAGUCCGUGACCGUAAGGAGCGGCCUAGGGCGAAACUGGUAAUUGGGGCU
rnacentral:rRNA from 1 species